GUAAUCAGUACUAGAGUGAGUACCAGAUACCUUGAACCACAUAGGUUUUGCUAGGCCCCACAGGGUAAGCACGUACUAUGAUUAUAACUUGAAAGAAACGAGGAUAGUUCUGUAAUUCACAUAUAAGCAAGAUGAGGACCGGUGGGUUUUAAAAAAGACCGCCAGCUGAGCUGACCAUUAGGAGGUGAAGGUUUGGUGGUACGUAAUUAAAUCUCCCCCAAAAUUUGAACCACCGGAGCGAACAAGCUUGAAAGAAACAAGUAUUCCUCUCCCAAAACAAAAAACAUAACAUCAUGAAUACUGUUCUUCACGGCUAAUCAUCCUUUUCUUUCCCUUGUUUCUCUAAUUAUGAAGAAGAGAAGCUUUGCUUCUCCACCUUCCUCUCCCCCAACUCCUCCUUCUCCCCUUCCCAUCAGCGUUGGCCCCGGGCAUCAAAAGUAUAACUUCUCCCCGUCGCCGUCACCUUCGCCUCCCUUCUCACCUCCUUCAAGCCGGACAUCUUCGGAGAUCAAUCCUCUCUUAUGGAAGGACUCACCAAGCCGACCACGGGUGCCAUCAACAUUUUCACUAGAUCGAGUUGCCGACGAGUUGGGUUCACACAGUUCAUCAUCAUGCCUAAAGGACUUGUUGGAAUGGUUGUUACUAAGGUGUUGCAGUUGCUGCUCUUGGUCUCUUUGAAGCCAAGUGGAAAACAAUAAAACAAUUAACAUACAAAUGCUUGCGUCAUCGUCAGAACCAAAAUAUUUUGUGGAUUCGGAUACAUUUAGAUGGAUUUUAUUUUUUUAAUGUAUUUUUUUUAGCCUUUUUUUUUUCCUUCUUUUUUAUUCAUGAGAUCCAAAGUUUCUAACUUGCAUAUGUCCUAUAAACCAUGUAGUGGGAGAAAAAAAGGACUACAAAACAGACAAGACCUUUCAAUAAACCAAUGACUAAUAUGAGGCAUCUAUUCUUCGAAA